UGNGAAUGUGCAAAACUUGGUUAGACUGGU
rnacentral:piRNA from 1 species